rnacentral:rRNA from 1 species
CAGUAGCCGCGGUAACACGGAGGGUGCAAGCGUUAAUCGGAAUUACUGGGCGUAAAGCGUGCGUAGGCGGUUCGUUAAGUCUGUUGUGAAAGCCCCGGGCUCAACCUGGGAAUGGCAAUGGAUACUGGCGAGCUAGAGUGUGUCAGAGGAUGGUGGAAUUCCCGGCGUAGCGGUGAAAUGCGUAGAGAUCGGGAGGAACAUCAGUGGCGAAGGCGGCCAUUUGGGACAACACUGACGCUGAGGCACGAAAGCGUGGGGAGCAAACAGGAUUAGAUACCCCCGUAGUCCCUGUCUCUUAUAC